UACGUAGGGUCCAAGCGUUGUCCGGAUUUAUUGGGCGUAAAGAGCGUGUAGGCGGCCAGGUAGGUCCGGUGUGAAAACUCGAGGCUUAACCUCGAGAUGUCAUCGGAAACCAUCUGGCUAGAGUCCGGAAGAGGAAAGUGGAAUUCCUGGUGUAGCGGUGAAAUGCGCAGAUAUCAGGAAGAACACCAAUGGCGAAAGCAGCUUUCUGGGACGGUACUGACGCUGAGACGCGAAAGCGUGGGGAGCGAACAGG
rnacentral:rRNA from 1 species